GCUGGUCUAGUGUUAGCGGUAAGCACGCGACGUUGUGGACGUCGAAGGGUGAGUUCAAAUCUCACGGCCGGUUCCA
rnacentral:tRNA from 1 species